rnacentral:misc_RNA from 1 species
GCGGAAGGUGAGAUGGCGGUGAGUGUGGCACUGGCAAGCGACUUGUGAUCGAGAGUAGGGGAAUGCUUCGUCUUGGCAUCGUCAGUAGCCUUGGCAGUUCUGCCUGCUGUACUGUGUUGCUGCUUCUUAUCCUUCGUGCGCUUGCCUUUGUCUUUGGUCGGUGGUGAUGCUGCUCCCUGUUUCGCAUCCUCUUCAUCCACGACAGGUAUCUGUGGCACCACGAUGCUCAGAGCAGCCGCACCUUUGCCCGAUGCGGUGGCUGCCGACUGAUAACGCGCGGCACGAGGCGAUGCGGGGGAGCGAGGCCGAGAGCGGCUACUCUGGCCUGGAGGGCGCAAGUGGGGCGCAUCGGACUCCGUACCCGCUGCUUUCGCUGUCGCACUUGCAUUUGAACUUGCAUGAGACUGUUUCAACCGCUUCUUGCGCUCCGCCUUCUCCUCCGCUGCCGG